GCGCUCCUCGCUCCGGUCCGCAGCCCCUCCGCACCUCCCGGGUGAGGCUCCCAGAGAAAGGAGAACACUGCAAAUCUCACCCAUAUCCAGAUCAAUAGUAUGAUUUCUUAGGAAUCAAGAAUCAACACUGGGUUAUUUCCAACUGUUAACCUUGAGAGCCCACUUGGACACUGCAGCAAGAAAGGAUAACCAUCCACACACUUGGACAUGAAAAAUGAUCUUUGAUCAGGGAGUUCUCUCUCUUCGGCUCAACCACCAGAAAUAGAAGGAACACCAUUCUGACCAAACUCAUCCAGAUGAAUCAAGUCAACCCUUUUUAGCAAGGAGUGGAGCUGCAGAAGGGUGGCCAGGUCACUGUCUUCUGCUCGCACCAUCAUUGAGCAGCCUUCUCCAGAACUGCUACCUAGAGUGGUCCUCCCUCUCACUGGUCAUUGUGUAUUGGGGUGUUACUGUGUCUUCCCAGACAAUGUGGCUCUUUUCCUAAUUUGCACCAAGGCAUCUAUAUGGGCUAGUGCCAGCUCUGGCUAUUCUGUUCCUAACCUGAGUCCUAUCCAGGAUUAUAUUCCUUACUUUGAAUGAAUAAGUAAUUCUCAAGUACAAAUUAGGUUUAUUGUGAAAGAUGAGAUAUAUGAUUUAAAUUGAAAAUGAAUUUCAUAAGUAAAGCUCAAAAUAUGCAAGUGAAUUUUGUAUAUAUGUGUCUAUGUAUAUAUAUUUGGACAUAUAUUUCUAUCAUCAGAAGGUAGGACAACUUUGAAAAAAGAAGUUAGGGCCAACUUAAAUUGCUAAAUGUUUAAAAGAAAACUAUUUGGGGUUUUGGAGUCAGUUUAAUAUAUGGAUUUCUGGCCUUCACAGAAAUAUGUAUUAUUUAAUUCCAUUUCAACAGUCCCCUAUGCUAAGCAGUAUGUAUACAGUUAUGGAAAAUGAUACAAACACUCAGCCUCCAGGUAGUUAAUCAUCUAGUAAGGAAGACAAAUGAUAAGGUCACAAAUAAAUUUAUAGCUGUAAAUUAUAAUAAGUGCUUUGAAAGAAAUGCCAAGAUGAAGGAUAACAAAUCACAUCCAUCCCAAGAUUAAGUGACUUUAAAGAGCCUCUCUGGGGAAAAGACAUUUCAACUGAACCCCAAGGGUGCGUCAGAGUUUAUGAAGUGACUUCACCUUGCCAUUUAAAGUAGAGAAGCAUUUGAACUGAGAACAGAAUUUGGCACAUUUAAGAGAACAAAAGUGCAGAAUAAAAUAGAUAACUAAAAAAAAGAGGCCAGAGACCAAAAUUCACAGUAUCGCCACUAAGGAAGUUUGGGAGACCUUGCUACUGCUGUGUGAUUCCACAGAGGAAGGUCGGCUGACAGAGGCGAAGAAUAAAUCCACAUCUUUUAAAAAUUGAAGAUUGGUUAUAGUUCAAGUGCACUGACACAGUGGUUGGAGCUACUGGUUAAUAUGUCUUUCUGAAGUUGGCAUUUCUGUGUGCCAGACACUGCUCUGGGGACACAGCAAAGAGCAAACUUCUCCUGGAGCUUGUUCUCAUGGGGGAAAUAGAGAACAAAUAGCUGUGGACCAUACAUGGCAUUCAAUGCAUGGAGCAAAGGAAUCAUGAGGAAGAGGGUGCAGCAGUUGAGAGAAAUAGUUAUUUCCCAGACACAGGAAAGGUGUCUACUGAGUGAGUGAUUGGUCAUACACGAAGCAGCAAGCCAUGAGGAUGCAGGUAUCUGCAAGGCACAGGGAAUGGCAAGUUAAAGCCAUGAACACACCAGCACUCUUGUUGUGUUCAAGAGUUAUCAAAGAGGCCUAUGUGACUGAGGGGAACAGGUGACAGAAAAUGACAAGAAGGAGGGCAGAGAAGUAACCAGGGCUCAGAUCUUGUGAGCAGUUAUGGACUUAAACUCUUAUUGAAUAAGUAGGUCAGGGAUCUUAUCAGAAAUAAACUCUUAACUAUUUUCACAAAGUGAAUAAAAUGUAAGGUAUUGGUUAAAUGGAUGUCCAAGAAUUACAAGAGCUAAAAGGGAACACUAAAGAGGAAUUCCUGAGGCUGCUGCAUUUCCAGGCUUUGGCAGCUGGGGGAGAGUUAGUGUUGACAGGACCCAGAAACUUGCACCAGCUCUGGAGAUGUGGUUGCUGCCCAUUGGUGCUGAUCCCCUGAGAUGGUGAAAAGAAGUCCAUCAUAGGAGGGCCUGCUAGCCUUUUAAUUAAUUAAUUAAUUAAAUUUUUAAAUGUAGGUAUUUUCUCCUUUGUUCUGCCUUGGCCACUUCCCACCAAUUUGAAAUGUUUUGCCUGUUUAUUUUCAUUCAGUUCAAAAUACUUUCUAGCAGUCCCCACCCCCAAGUUCUUUGACCCAGAGGUUAUUGAGAAGUGGGCUUUCUAGAUGUUUGGGGAUCUUCUGUUGUUAAUUCUAACUCAGUUCCAUUGCAGGCAGAGAGUACACUCCAUAUGCAUUGAAUUUUUAAAUUUUGAGACCUUUUUAUGGGCAGGAAAAUUGUCUGUCUUGGCAAGCAUUUUAUGAACAAAAGAAUGUUUUGCUGUUGUGGAGUGGAGGGUACUGAAGGGUCAGGUCACUUUGGUAGAUAAUGUGGUCCAAGUUGUCCCUUAGAUUGACUUUCCAUCUGUUCAUUCUAUCAGUUAUUGCAGAAAGGAUACUAAUAUAUGGCGGAUUUUCUGUUUCUUGCAGAUCUGCCCAUUUUUGCUUAGUAUAUUUUGACGCUUUGCUUUUAGGUGCAUGAAUGUUUAGGGUUGUUAUGUCUUUGUGACAACUAGACCCUUUUGCCAUUAUGAAAUCUUUCUCUAUCCCUAGCAGUAUGUUUUGUUCUGAACUCCUCUGCCUGCUACUCAUUUAACCAAUCCCACUUGUCUUUUGAUUAACUUGGUGUAUCUUUUCCCAUCCUUUUACUUUUAUCCUGUUUCUGUCUGUAUAUUUAAAGUAUAUUUAUUAUAGGCAUCAUAUGGUUGGGUUUCACUUGUUUUUGUCAAAGUAACAUGCUAUGACUUUUAGUUGAGAUGUGUAUACCCUUUACAUUUGAUGUGAUUAUUGAGGUGGUUUAAAAUCACCUAACUAUUUGUUUUCUGUUUUGUCUUAUCUAUUCUUUGUUCACGUCUCUUUUCUCUACUUUUUGAUUAAUUAAAUAUUUCUAUUAUUCCAUUAUAUUAUUGGCUUAUUAGCUCUUAUUUCAAGAGGUCAACAUUAUAUUGUAUUAUAGUUAAUAUCAUAUCACUUUAUUAUAAGAACUUUAAAGCAGUGUACAGUUGUCCUUUGGUAUCUAUGGGAGCUUGGUUCCAAGACCACCUGCAAUCAUACAAAAUGCUUAUUGAAAUUGGCAUACUAUUUGCAUGUAAUCUAUGCACCUCCUCCCCUGUAUUUUAAACGACUUCUAGAUUACUACCCCACCCUGUGUUAUACUUUUUCUCCUUCUCUUCUAGAUUACUUAUAAUAGCUAUAACAAUGUAAAUGCUAUGUAACUAGUUGUUAUUUUGUUUAGGGAAUAAUGAGAAGGGACAAAUAUCUGUACAUGUUUAGAGCAGAUGCAGUCCUUUUUUCUAAUAUUACUGAUCUGCCAUUGAUCUGCAUCAUCCACAGAUUUAGAUUUCCUCUAUGUCUAGAACAUGCAGAAGAAUGCUCUUGUGUGAUACUGGGCAGAAGUGACCUACAGCUCCCAAUCACCCAAGUGAUCACAAGGGGAAGGAACUGACUCUCUAUAUGUACUGUGUUGCUAAACUAUGAUGUUCAGUAGGUUAGAUGCAUUAAGAGAAUUUUUGAUUUAUGAUAUUUCUAACUUAUAGUGGAUUUAUUAUGAUAUAAAUUGAGGAACAUCUAUACUUUAAAUAUUUUUGAGAUAGCUCCACUGUCUCCUUAAUUACAUUUCCAGGGGGAAAUUACUCUUAUUUUGUUCCUCUGUAUAUAAUUCCUUUAUACUCUGGUUGCUUUUCAUAUUUUUUCUUUAUCAAUUGGUUUCAGGUUCUCUCUGUAUGCUAUUUUAGAUUUUUUUUAUGACUCCCAGGUUAAUUAUAAACUACUGUUUAUCCCAUCCAGGUUUUAUUUCUUAUUUUUUUAUUCCCUUUCAGGUAUUGAAUUUUUAUCUCAAAAAGUUUGGGUCUCUUUAACUCCUUGAAGUCAGCCCUUUACCAGAUUAGUCUUUCCUCUGCAUUCUUGAACAUUCUUGGACAUAUGGAGUGCAUGGUUUUAAUAACUAUUUCAAUGUUGUCGUGAACUCAUUCUUUUUGAUUUUUUUCCUCCUAACUGUGGUUCAUAUUUUCCUGCUUCUUUGCAUGUCUGCUAUUUUUUUUUGUGUUGAGAUUCUGUUAUGGACCAAAUGUGAAGCCACAAAAUUCAUAUAUUGAAACCCUAGCCCCUGAUGUGAUGGGGGUGUCACGAGGUAGGACUUUUAGGAGGUCAUCAGGUCAUGGAGCUGGAGCCUUUAUGAAAUGAUUCCCCUGAGAGCUCUCUCACGCUUCUUGUGCCACGUGAGGAUCCAGGAAGAGGUGGACUACCUGCAUUCUGUCAGAGGACCCUCCUCAGGACCCGACCAUGCUGGCACCCUGACCUAGGACUCUCUAGCUUCCAGAACUGUGAGAAAUAAAUGUUCAUUGUUUAAGUCUUAAA